rnacentral:pre_miRNA from 1 species
AAUAGAUGACGCUGUUGACUUUUUAUCACAUGUUUGACCAUUCGUCUUAUUCAAAAAAUUUACGUAAUUAUAAUUUAUUUUGUUAUGAGUUGUUUUAUUACUUAUAGUACUUUAAAUGUGAUUUAUAUCUUAUACAUUUGCAUAAAAUUUUUAAAUAAAAUGAAUGGUCAAAUAUGUGAGAAAAAGUCAACGGCAUUAUCUAUU